rnacentral:rRNA from 1 species
GCGCGAAGGAUCAUUAUCGAAUUGGCUUGGACUGUGCUGGCUUCUGCAUGUGCACGUCCAUCUUCAUCCAAUACACCUGUGCAUCUUUGACUUUGAGCCCUCGGGCGAGAAGUAUUACACACCCUUUGAUUAUGUAUGUGAUAAAGACUAUGGCGCUUUGCGUCGAUUAUAAAACAACUUUCAACAACGGAUCUCUUGGCUCUCGCAUCGAUGAAGAACGCAGCGAAAUGCGAUAAGUAAUGUGAAUUGCAGAAUUCAGUGAAUCAUCGAAUCUUUGGACGCACCUUGCACCCUUUGGUAUUCCGAAGGGUAUGCCCGUUUGAGUGUCAUUGUAAUCUCACACCCAAGACUUCUUGUCGAGGGAGGUGGACUUGGAUGUUUUGCUGCGUAACUGCGGCUCGUCUCAAAAGUGUCAGCGCGGCUCUAGAUGAAGCGUUUGAUGCCCAGUGUAAUAAGUAUUUCGCUGUGGUUAGCAUUAGUCUAUGAGUUGUUGUGCUCUCUAAUCGUCUUCGGACUGGACCAGCGAUGGUUCAUUUGACAACUUGGCCCCAAAUCGGGUAGGACUACUCUCCUGAACCUUAAGCAUAUCAAUAAGCGGAGGAAAAGAAACCAAACAAGGAUUUCUCCCAGUAACGGCGAGUGGAGAGGGAAGAACUUAAAUUUUGAAUCUGGCGUCUUCCGCGUCCGAGUUGUAAUCUAUAGAAGUGUUUUCCGCGAUGGACCUUG